rnacentral:rRNA from 1 species
GACAGAGGAUGCAAACGUUGCUCGGAAUUACUGGGCGUAAAGCGCGUGUAGGCGGUUUCGCACGUCCGGUGUGAAAGCCCAGGGCUCAACCCUGGAAGUGCACUGGAUACGACGAAGCUGGAGUACUGAAGAGGAGAGCGGAAUUCCUGGUGUAGCGGUGAAAUGCGCAGAUAUCAGGAGGAACACCGGUGGCGAAGGCGGGUCUCUGGGCCGAUAUUGACGCUGAGGAGCGAAAGCGUGGGGAGCGAACAGG